rnacentral:lncRNA from 10 species
UAGGAAGCAGAGGGCCUACCCCUCCACCACCCUGGAUAUCUGUGCCCCUCCCUGGACCCACCCCUCCUUCCUCCCUCAAUGUCACCCCAUCCAGCAAUGACACAAACUGGCACCAGUCCCUAGCCAGUGUUUGUCCUCACUGCUCAGUGCUGAAUGGUAGUUUUGUUAAAUUUCUUUUUUUAAUUGAGAUGGAGUCUCACUCUGUCACCCAGGCUGGAGUGCAGUGGUGUGAUCAAAGCUCCCUACAGCCUCCAACUCCUGGGCUCAAGCGAUUCUCCUGCCUCAGCCUCCCCAGUAGUUAGGACUAGAGGUAUGUAACAGCAUGCCAAGCUAC